CUAGGCACAAGCAAAUUACACCAUUAAUGUCAUCCUGGCGAAUGAAACAAGAGAAUAGUAUUUAUCAGAGAAAGUCUGGUGAGUUGAAGUCCAAGACCCCAGGAAAAAACUAACCCUGCUGGGCUGCCCCUCCUUCGGAGUGGGACUAUGAUCCUCAUCAGGCCAAUCCACGUCACAGAAUGGUCUAGGCAUUGGAUGAGUGCCUCAAUCUGAGCCAAUGAAGGUCAUUGCUGAGACAUUUUACUGGUUGCCAGGCUGCAGGCAUCCCAGGCUUCCUGCUGCCCUCAUGUCUACAACCUGUCGUCUGGAACAUUCCAGGAGCCACUUUUAUCACUUGCAGCAAUCUUCUUCAGUGAGUUCCCCAGGACUUGAUUUCAUCUUACAAUCUGAUUCCAUGUGUCUCCCAUAUUUUAAGGAUUCUUUAUUAUUUCUGGCUUACAGAGAACA
rnacentral:lncRNA from 1 species